rnacentral:rRNA from 1 species
UACGUAGGGUCCGAGCGUUGUCCGGAAUUAUUGGGCGUAAAGAGCUCGUAGACGGCUCGGUAAGUCGGGUGUGAAACCUCCAGGCUCAACCUGGAGACGCCACCUGAUACUGCUGUGGCUAGAGUCCGGUAGGGGAGCGUGGAAUUCCUGGUGUAGCGGUGAAAUGCGCAGAUAUCAGGAGGAACACCAGCGGCGAAGGCGGCGCUCUGGGCCGGAACUGACGCUGAGGAGCGAAAGCGUGGGUAGCAAACAGG